AUUGAACGCUGGCGGAAUGCUUUACACAUGCAGGUCGAACGGCAGCACGGGGGCAACCCUGGUGGCGAGUGGCGAACGGGUGAGUAAUACAUCGGAACGUGCCCGGUCGUGGGGGAUAACGUAGCGAAAGUUACGCUAAUACCGCAUACGAUCUGAGGAUGAAAGCGGGGGACCUUCGGGCCUCGCGCGAUCGGAGCGGCCGAUGUCAGAUUAGGUAGUUGGUGGGGUAAAGGCCUACCAAGCCGACGAUCUGUAGCUGGUCUGAGAGGACGACCAGCCACACUGGGACUGAGACACGGCCCAGACUCCUACGGGAGGCAGCAGUGGGGAAUUUUGGACAAUGGGCGCAAGCCUGAUCCAGCCAUUCCGCGUGCAGGACGAAGGCCUUCGGGUUGUAAACUGCUUUUGUAUGGAACGAAAAGGCUCUGGCUAAUACCUGGGGCUCAUGACGGUACCGUAAGAAUAAGCACCGGCUAACUACGUG
rnacentral:rRNA from 1 species